rnacentral:rRNA from 1 species
UAACACCGGCGGCCCGAGUGGUAACCGCUUUUAUUGGGUCUAAAGGGUCUGUAGCCGGCCAAGUAAGUCCCUUGGGAAAUCUGGCAGCUUAACUGUCAGGCUGCUAGGGGAUACUGCUAGGCUUGGGACCGGGAGAGGUGAGAGGUACCUUGGGGGUAGGGGUGAAAUCUUGUGAUCCUCGGGGGACCACCAGUGGCGAAGGCGUCUCACCAGAACGGGUCCGACGGUAAGGGACGAAAGCUAGGGGCACGAACCGG